rnacentral:lncRNA from 1 species
GGGGAAAUUGGAAAAACAUUGACCUCAAAUGUUGAGAAAGAAAAAUGCAUAAGAAAAAGAAAAGAAAAGAAGAAAAGCAUGAAGAUAAGCUCAAUGUAAAAAUUAAAAGAAAAGGGAAGAAGCUGGGAAUAAGUGAGAUUGGUGAGGAAGAGAGUUGUGCUUGAAUUUUAAACAAUUUUGUAGCUCUCUAAACUCAAGAAUUUUGCAUUCCAGAAAAA